GGUAACGCAUGAAGUCAAAAAAAGUAGUUAAAAUGUUAAGUAAAACCACACUAAUUAAGAUAUAGCUGAUGAAAUGUGGUAGGCUUUUCGUUCGACCAAUUUCAAUAAGAAAUAUUUGUACAAAAUUUGAAGUGGAUAGCCUUAUUCGUGCGAAAGAUGUGUCCUUCCAACAUUUGAAUGUUGCGAAUAGAGAAAUGAAGUUAGUAUAUCAUCGACCAUUGUUGUACUAAAGGAAAGGAAAUAUUUUUCGAAAUUUUUCGAUUUGAAAGAAGUGAAAUGAAAACGAAAUUCCAAACGCUUUUUCAACUUAGUAAGCCGUAUUUCAGCUGGUAUCUGGAAAUAGUUUUCCGCUUAACCUUUAGCCGCAUAACUCUGACGAUUUCAUGUCAAUUUAACAGUUGGAUAACUGUAAAAUUGACAUAUUGGUGUAAUGCUGCAUUCCAGCAAAAACUUGAUUUACUAGCUGCUAAAAUAUAAUGAUUUGUUUUGUGUUACCGGUAGUACAAGCUCAAGCCGGUAGCUCAAGAAUAAGCACUUAUUUGUAAUAAUAAAAAUAAAUCAUAAUUAUAACCUUGGUAUUGGUAAAAUUGCUAUUAACAAACUGCUGGCAAAAUUAUCUCGUACCCCAUGAGUGCUGUCCGUUACAAGGUUAAGCUCAAUGAUAAGGGACUUCCAUUUUAUUGGCGAGUCUGAAUGGCUUAACGCAAAGCCACACCACUUAGUAGCAGUAGUAGGGAAAUACUGUGUCGCUAUUAUAAUAUAAAAUAUUUUUCAAUUUUUCUACC